GGCGAGGUGGCCGAGUGCUUAAGGCGAUGGACUGCUAAUCCAUUGAGGUCUGCCAGCGUGGGUUCGUGUCCCACCCUCGUCG